GACGAAGGAUGCAAGCGUUAUCCGGAUUCAUUGGGUUUAAAGGGAGCGUAGGUGGCCUUAUAAGUCAGUGGUGAAAUCUCUGGGCUUAACCCAGAAAUUGCCAUUGAUACUGUAGGGCUUGAGUAUAGAUGCCGUUGGCAAUAUGACAUGUAGUGGUGAAAUACAUAGAGAUGUCAUAGAACACCGAUUGCGAAGGCAGCUAACGAAACUAUAACUGACACUGAGGCUCGAAAGUGUGGGGAUCAAACAGG
rnacentral:rRNA from 1 species